rnacentral:SRP_RNA from 1 species
GCUGGGUGUGGUGGCGCAUGCCUGUAAUCCCAGCUACUCAGGAGGCUGAGGCAGGAGAAUCGCUUGAACCCAGGAGGUGGAGGUUGCAGUGAGCCGAGCGUGCGCCAUUGCACUCCAGCCUGGGUGACAGAGUGAGACUCUGUCUCCA